GUUCCCAUGAAGUGAGGGCCAUCCUGACUGUUACAUCUCUCUGGGUCCCUUAGCUUCAUCUUGUCUGCAGGAUGGCGUGUGUGCUGCUCCCCAGGGGCAUCUGGACAGAGGUUCUGGCUGUGACCCUGCUGGUGCUGAAUUCCCAGGUGGCUGCAGGCAGACAUGCCCCAGAGCACUUCACGGAGCAGAUGAAGGCCGAGUGUUACUUCGAGAACGGGACGGAGCGCGUGCGGUUUGUGGAGAGAUACAUCCACAACCGGGAGGAGUACGUGCGCUUCGACAGCGACGUGGGGGAGUAUGUGGCGGUGACGGAGCUGGGACGGCUCAGUGCUGAGCGUUUGAACAGCCAGAAGGAGAUCCUGGAGGACGAACGGGCCGCGGUGGACACUUGUGCAGGCACAACUACGGGGUGUCUGAGCCCUUCUUACUGCGCAGGAGCGUUGAGCCCGAGGUGAUUGUGUAUCCAUCAAAGAUGGCUCCCCUGGGACACCACAACCUGCUUGUCUGCUCUGUCAGUGGUUUCUAUCCUGGGGACAUUGAGGUCAGGUGGUUCCUGAAUGGGCAGGAGGAGACGGCUGGGGUUGUGUCCACAGGCCUGAUCAGCAAUGGAGACUGGACCUACCAGCUCCUGGUGAUGCUGGAAAUGACCCCCAAGCGUGGAGACGUCUACACCUGCCAAGUGGAGCACUCCAGCCUUCAGAAACCUGUUGUCUUGGACUGGAAAGCACAGUCUGAAUCUGCCCAGAGUAAGAUGCUGAGUGGAGUCGGGGGCCUCGUGCUGGGCCUGAUCUUCUUUGGGGUUGGCCUCUUUGUCUACAAGAGGAGUCAGAAAGGAAAUCAGGGUUCACAACCAACAGGGCUUCUGAGCUGAUCCCUGAGCCUGUGUCACCUGGAACUGUUGUGCCCCCUCAGCCUCCCUCUCAUGUUUGGAGGCCCCCUGCUUCUGCCCAGAUCUCCAGGAGGUUGCUCCUACAGACCACUUCCCUGGACUGGCUC